rnacentral:rRNA from 1 species
GACGUCAAAUCAUCAUGCCCCUUAUGACCUGGGCUACACACGUGCUACAAUGGACAGAACAAAGGGCAGCGAAACCGCGAGGUUAAGCCAAUCCCACAAAUCUGUUCUCAGUUCGGAUCGCAGUCUGCAACUCGACUGCGUGAAGCUGGAAUCGCUAGUAAUCGCGGAUCAGCAUGCCGCGGUGAAUACGUUCCCGGGCCUUGUACACACCGCCCGUCACACCACGAGAGUUUGUAACACCCGAAGUCGGUGAGGUAACCUUUAAGGAGCCAGCCGCCGAAGGUGGGACAGAUGAUGGGGUGAAUUGAUGCCAGGUUCA